GCCUCCUUAGCUCAGUUGGUAGAGCGCGUCACUCGUAUGAGAUUAUGACGAGGUCAGUCGUUCGAAUCGGCUAGUGGGCA